rnacentral:rRNA from 1 species
AAUAGAUACCCAGGUAGUCCACGCCGUAAACGGUGGGCACUAGAUGUGGGGCUCUUUCCAUGAGUUCCGCGUCGCAGCUAACGCAUUAAGUGCCCCGCCUGGGGAGUACGGCCGCAAGGCUAAAACUCAAAGGAAUUGACGGGGGCCCGCACAAGCGGCGGAGCAUGCGGAUUAAUUCGAUGCAACGCGAAGAACCUUACCAAGGCUUGACAUAUACGGUCUAUCCCUAGAGAUAGGGAGUGCUUCGGCGCCGUAUACAGGUGGUGCAUGGUUGUCGUCAGCUCGUGUCGUGAGAUGUUGGGUUAAGUCCCGCAACGAGCGCAACCCUCGUCCUAUGUUGCCAGCGGAUAAUGCCGGGGACUCAUGGGAGACUGCCGGGGUCAACUCGGAGGAAGGUGGGGAUGAGGUCAAAUCAUCAUGCCCCUUAUGUCUUGGGCUUCACGCAUGCUACAAUGGCCGGUACAAAGGGCUGCAAUACCGCGAGGUGGAGCGAAUCCCAAAAAGCCGGUCUCAGUUCGGAUUG